UGGGGAAUUUUGGACAAUGGGCGAAAGCCUGAUCCAGCAAUGCCGCGUGUGUGAAGAAGGCCUUCGGGUUGUAAAGCACUUUUGUCCGGAAAGAAAUCCUUGGCUCUAAUACAGUCGGGGGAUGACGGUACCGGAAGAAUAAGCACCGGCUAACUACGUGCCAGCAGCCGCGGUAAUACGUAGGGUGCAAGCGUUAAUCGGAAUUACUGGGCGUAAAGCGUGCGCAGGCGGUUUGCUAAGACCGAUGUGAAAUCCCCGGGCUCAACCUGGGGAACUGCAUUGGUGACUGGCAGGCUAGAGUACGGCAGAGGGGGGUAGAAUUCCACGUGUAGCAGUGAAAUGCGUAGAGAUGUGGAGGAAUGCCGAUGGCGAAGGCAGCCCCCUGGGCCAAUACUGACGCUCAUGCACGAAAGCGUGGGGAGCAAACAGGAUUAGAUACCCUGGUAGUCCACGCCCUAAACGAUGUCAACUAGUUGUUGGGGAUUCAUUUCCUUAGUAACGUAGCUAACGCGUGAAGUUGACCGCCUGGGGAGUACGGUCGCAAGAUU
rnacentral:rRNA from 1 species